GAUGAACGCUGGCGGCGUGCCUAAUACAUGCAAGUCGAGCGAACAGAUAAGGAGCUUGCUCCUUUGAAGUUAGCGGCGGACGGGUGAGUAACACGUGGGUAACCUACCUAUAAGACUGGGAUAACUUCGGGAAACCGGAGCUAAUACCGGAUAAUAUUUAGAACCGCAUGGUUCUAAAGUGAAAGAUGGUUUUGCUAUCACUUAUAGAUGGACCCGCGCCGUAUUAGCUAGUUGGUAAGGUAACGGCUUACCAAGGCGACGAUACGUAGCCGACCUGAGAGGGUGAUCGGCCACACUGGAACUGAGACACGGUCCAGACUCCUACGGGAGGCAGCAGUAGGGAAUCUUCCGCAAUGGGCGAAAGCCUGACGGAGCAACGCCGCGUGAGUGAUAAAGGGUUUCGGCUCGUAAAACUCUGUUAUUAGGGAAGAACAAAUGUGUAAGUAACUGUGCACAUCUUGACGGUACCUAAUCAGAAAGCCACGGCUAACUACGUGCCAGCAGCCGCGGUAAUACGUAGGUGGCAAGCGUUAUCCGGAAUUAUUGGGCGUAAAGCGCGCGUAGGCGGUUUCUUAAGUCUGAUGUGAAAGCCCACGGCUCAACCGUGGAGGGUCAUUGGAAACUGGGAAACUUGAGUGCAGAAGAGGAAAGUGGAAUUCCAUGUGUAGCGGUGAAAUGCGCAGAGAUAUGGAGGAAUACCAGUGGCGAAGGCGACUUUCUGGUCUGUAACUGACGCUGAUGUGCGAAAGCGUGGGGAUCAAACAGGAUUAGAUACCCUGGUAGUCCACGCCGUAAACGAUGAGUGCUAAGUGUUAGGGGGUUUCCGCCCCCUUAGUGCUGCAGCUAACGCAUUAAGCACUCCGCCUGGGGAGUACGACCGCAAGGUUGAAACUCAAAGGAAUUGACGGGGACCCGCACAAGCGGUGGAGCAUGUGGUUUAAUUCGAAGCAACGCGAAGAACCUUACCAAAUCUUGACAUCCUUUGAAAACUCUAGAGAUAGAGCCUUCCCCUUCGGGGGACAAAGUGACAGGUGGUGCAUGGUUGUCGUCAGCUCGUGUCGUGAGAUGUUGGGUUAAGUCCCGCAACGAGCGCAACCCUUAAGCUUAGUUGCCAUCAUUAAGUUGGGCACUCUAGGUUGACUGCCGGUGACAAACCGGAGGAAGGUGGGGAUGACGUCAAAUCAUCAUGCCCCUUAUGAUUUGGGCUACACACGUGCUACAAUGGACAAUACAAAGGGCAGCUAAACCGCGAGGUCAUGCAAAUCCCAUAAAGUUGUUCUCAGUUCGGAUUGUAGUCUGCAACUCGACUACAUGAAGCUGGAAUCGCUAGUAAUCGUAGAUCAGCAUGCUACGGUGAAUACGUUCCCGGGUCU
rnacentral:rRNA from 1 species